rnacentral:rRNA from 1 species
AUUGAACGCUGGCGGCAGGCCUAACACAUGCAAGUCGAACGAGUGGCGGACGGGUGAGUAAUGUCUGGGAAACUGCCCGAUGGAGGGGGAUAACUACUGGAAACGGUAGCUAAUACCGCAUACCAUCAGAUGAACCCAUAUGGGAUUAGCUUGUAGGUGAGGUAACGGCUCACCUAGGCGACGAUCCCUAGCUGGUCUGAGAGGAUGAUCAGCCACACUGGGACUGAGACACGGCCCAGACUCCUACGGGAGGCAGCAGUGGGGAAUAUUGCACAAUGGGCGCAAGCCUGAUGCAGCCAUGCCGCGUGUAUGAAGAAGGCCUUCGGGUUGUAAAGUACUUUCAGUAGCGAGGCGUUAACUACAGAAGAAGCACCGGCUAACUCCGUGCCAGCAGCCGCGGUAAUAC